UCUCCUGGGUUGGCAGCAGAUCCACUGAUGGAAAAGUGCAAACGUGUUUCAGAGACUCUAGGGGUACAUGAGCCAUUUUAUUAUUUCAGAUGACCGAAGCUGAUGGAAAAGCAUGACUAACAAAAAGGACUCUUGAGGAAGUACUCAAGUUUUUGAGGGUGCAGGGCCUCCUCCAUGGUGGGCACUGUGACUGGUGUUGGGGACAGUGUCAACAACAGUACUCACGAGGUUACUACUCUGUGGUGGAAGCAGACAGCAAGUCCCGGCCACACAAGCUGACUCUAGAAACCUAGGGCAAAUCCAAGGGAAGGAAGUACAUGGUAUGUAGUUGGGAUCUAGGUUCAAGGUAAACAGACACGGUGUCCUAAUUCAGUCUAAUGCCAGAUCUUGAAAUAUAUACAAAGGUCAAAGAUUCUGCAUCUUGAUAUGAACAUAUGAGACCUUUGUGAAUGUCCAAAGAGCUGCAAUCUCAACAGGGACAAGAGUGAGCCUGAGCAACUCCCACCCUCUGUGCUGCCUUCCUGGUCCUGCUCACCGUCUGUCUCUGAAGUGCUCCUGACCAGCAGUCCAACUCGCUCGCUUUGCAGAGAUGUCCCGAAGAAACUGAAGAGCACAUGCUAGUCAAGGCAGAGACAGGCAGCCUGCUUGUUUGGGUUUUUCCAGUCUAUUUCUAAAAUGAGCUAUUUUUCAAGUUAAACUUAUAGAUGGUCACCUGAUGCGGGAGUUAACAACUUUGUCCAAUUUGAAACUCUGGAAAUGUAACUGGGUCAGCUGCCCAAUUAUGACCCCAACAGUGAAUUUCUCAUUUGGAUAUGGAGUUUUGUAAUUUCUCUGCAGAGUCAAACAGGAAGAGAAGAUUUAAAAAUUGGCUUAGGCACUUAGAAUGA